AACGACUCUCGGCAACGGAUAUYUCGGCUCUCGCAUCGAUGAAGAACGUAGCGAAAUGCGAUACUUGGUGUGAAUUGCAGAAUCCCGUGAACCAUCGAGUCUUUGAACGCAAGUUGCGCCCGAAGCCAUUAGGCCGAGGSCASKUCUGGUUGGGUGUCASGMAAGK
rnacentral:rRNA from 1 species